rnacentral:rRNA from 1 species
CACCUCUAGCAUUACUAGUAUUAGAGGCACUGCCUGCCCAGUGACAUUAGUUAAACGGCCGCGGUAUCCUGACCGUGCAAAGGUAGCAUAAUCAUUUGUUCUUUAAAUAGGGACUUGUAUGAACGGCCACACGAGGGUUCUACUGUCUCUUGCUUCCAAUCAGUGAAAUUGACCUCCCCGUGCAGAGGCGGGGAUACACAAAUAAGACGAGAAGACCUUAUGGAGCUUUAAUUAACUAACUCAAAGAAAACAUAAAUAACCGCCAAGGGAUAAUAAUCUUCUACCUGAGUUAGCAAUUUCGGUUGGGGUGACCUCGGAGAACAGAAAAACCUCCGAGUGACUAAAAUCUAGACUUACCAGUCAAAAUGUAGUGUCACUUAUUGAUCCAAAAUAUUUGAUCAACGGAACAAGUUACCCUAGGGAUAACAGCGCAAUCCUAUUCAAGAGUUCAUAUCGACAAUAGGGUUUACGACCUCGAUGUUGGAUCAGGACGCCCCAAUGGUGCAGCCGCUAUUAAAGGUUCGUUUGUUCAACGAUUAAAGUCCU